rnacentral:rRNA from 1 species
AUUGAACGCUGGCGGAAUGCUUUACACAUGCAAGUCGAACGGUAGAGGGGGCAACCCCUUGAGAGUGGCGAACGGGUGAGUAAUAUAUCGGAACGUGCCCAGUCGUGGGGGAUAACGUAGUGAAAAUUACGCUAAUACCGCAUACGAUCUAAGGAUGAAAGCGGGGGAUCGCAAGACCUCGCGCGCUUGGAGCGGCCGAUAUCAGAUUAGGUAGUUGGGGGGGUAAAGGCCCACCAAGCCAACGAUCUGUAGCUGGGCUGAGAGGACGACCAGCCAGACUGGAAGUGCGACACGGUCCAGACUCCUGCGGGAGGCAGCAGUGGAGAAUUUUGGACAAUGGGCGAAAGCCUGAUCCAGCCAUUCCGCGUGCAGGAUGAAGGCCCUCGGGUUGUAAACUGCUUUUGUACAGAACGAAAAGGUUUCUACUAAUACUAGGGGCUCAUGACGGUACUGUAAGAACAAGCACCGGCUAACUACGUGCCAGCAGCAGCGGUAA